UACGGGGGGGGCAAGCGUUGUUCGGAAUUACUGGGCGUAAAGGGCUCGUAGGCGGCCAACUAAGUCGGAUGUGAAAUCCCCAGGCGUUAACCUGGGGAACUGCAUCCGAUACUGGAUGGCUUGAAUUCGGGAGAGGGAUGCAGAAUUCCAGGUGUAGCGGUGAAAUGCGUAGAUAUCAAGAGGAACACCGUGAGGUGAAGACGGGUUGCUGGGCUGACACUGACGCUGAGGCGCGAAAGCCAGGGGAGCAAACGGG
rnacentral:rRNA from 1 species